AGUAUAUAUAUAUAUAUAUAUAUAUAUAUAUAUAUAUAUGUAUGUAUGUAUGUAUGCACAUAUAAAUGACUCUAAUGGGACUGUUUCUACCUUUGUUAUUUCAUUUGUUUUUGUUUUUUUUUUCAAACAUCCCAAUCUUUGAUCGCUUCAAAGAAAAACUUAGUUUACUUUAUGUACAACCAUAACAAUGUUAGAAAAAAAGAAAAAUAUAUUUGCACAAAACUAAAUUGUAAAUUGGAAGGUAUAGAAUAUAAAGUUAAGGAUUUGAAUAAGUCAAUUGAUUUUUAUAAAAAUGUGUUAGGUUUUAAAGAAUUAGAAAGAAACACGAAUUUUGUCAAAAUGGUACUAGAUGUAAAGGAUGCAUAUAUAAAAUUAAUACAAAAGGGAGAGCAAAAUAUGAUCAUACCAGAAGAUUAGGUAUAAAUUCAAAAAAAUUCGAAAUAAGUAAAACCAAAACAUAUGAAGGAAAGGUAGAAGAAGAAAUUGAAAAAAGACCUAUCACUGCUUGUAUAUUACCAGAUGAAGACGUAAAAAAAAAAAAAAAAAAAAAAAAAAAAAAAACAUGAGCAUUUGAAAUAUUAAAAAAAAUAUAUGUUUAUUCUAGCUUUAUAACAUUAAAAAUGUGUAAACAGUGUAUAUUUUUGUUAGUGGUUCUUACAAUAAUAACAAUAAUAAUGAUAAUAAUUUUUUUUAUAAAUAUUGCAGGCACAAGAAAGGAAGUACUGGACCAACUGCUUUAUAACAGACCCAGACGGUUAUGGUAUAGAAGUGGUAUUACAGGAGGAAACUGAUGAAAAUAAGCUCGACAGGGUUUGCAAAUAUAUAUGUACAAAUCAUACAUACUAUAUUGUUAAUAUUUGUGUACACAAUCCGAUUUUUGCACAUUUGUCCUCUUUUACCUAUUAAUUUGUUCAAUCAUUUUUCUAUUCAUUUAUUUAUUAAUUUAUUUAUUUGUUUUAUUAUUUUUAUUUAUUUUUUUUUUUUUCUGUUGUUAUUGUUAAACUUUUCAGAUUAGGCUUUUUACAACAUCAACAAAAGAUGCGCAAAAGUUUUAUUCCGAUAUUUUAGGAUUCGAGGUACAUAUAAUAAUUGUGCAUAUGCACACAAUCUAGCAACAUUUUUUUUUUUUUUUUAUUAUAUUUUGUCUAAGUUCUUUUUCAUUUUAUUUUUUCAUUUUACUUUUAUUUUAUUUUUUUUUAGCUAAUAAAAAUACAAAGCCAUUUAAACGAAAUUUCUUA
rnacentral:lncRNA from 1 species